AGUCGAGCGAGGCGGGUAGCAAUACCCAGUCGAGCGGCGGACGGGUGAGUAACGCGUGGAUAAUCUACCUUUUGGUGGGGGAUAACCCGGGGAAACUCGAGCUAAUACCGCAUGAGAUCGAAAGAUGAAAGGGGCGCAAGUCCCGCCGGAAGAGGAGUCCGCGUCCGAUUAGCUAGUUGGUAGGGUAAUGGCCUACCAAGGCGACGAUCGGUAGCCGGCCUGAGAGGGUGAUCGGCCACACUGGAACUGAGACACGGUCCAGACUCCUACGGGAGGCAGCAGUGGGGAAUUUUGCGCAAUGGGCGAAAGCCUGACGCAGCAACGCCGCGUGGAGGAUGAAGGUCUUUGGAUUGUAAACUCCUGUCAGCAGGGAAGAAGGCCUCGGCGAAGAGCCGAGGAUUGACGGUACCUGCAGAGGAAGCCCCGGCUAACUCUGUGCCAGCAGCCGCGGUAAUACAGAGGGGGCAAGCGUUAUUCGGAAUUAUUGGGCGUAAAGGGCGCGUAGGCGGUCGUGCAAGUGGAAGGUGAAAUCCCUCGGCUCAACCGAGGAACUGCCUUUUCAACUGCUUGACUUGAGUCCGGGAGAGGUGAGUGGAAUUCCCAGUGUAGCGGUGAAAUGCGU
rnacentral:rRNA from 1 species